rnacentral:rRNA from 1 species
UACGUAGGUGGCGAGCGUUGUCCGGAUUUACUGGGCGUAAAGGGAGCGUAGGCGGACUUUUAAGUGAGAUGUGAAAUACUCGGGCUCAACUUGAGUGCUGCAUUUCAAACUAGAAGUCUAGAGUGCAGGAGAGGAGAAUGGAAUUCCUAGUGUAGCGGUGAAAUGCGUAGAGAUUAGGAAGAACACCAGUGGCGAAGGCGAUUCUCUGGACUGUAACUGACGCUGAGGCUCGAAAGCGUGGGGAGCAAACAGG